rnacentral:rRNA from 1 species
GAAAGCCUGGCGGCGUGCUAUACAUGCAGUCGAACGAGUUCUGAUUAUUGAAAGGUGCUUGCAUCUUGAUUUAAUUUUGAACGAGUGGCGGACGGGUGAGUAACACGUGGGUAACCUGCCCUUAAGUGGGGGAUAACAUUUGGAAACAGAUGCUAAUACCGCAUAAAUCCAAGAACCGCAUGGUUCUUGGCUGAAAGAUGGCGUAAGCUAUCGCUUUUGGAUGGACCCGCGGCGUAUUAGCUAGUUGGUGAGGUAACGGCUCACCAAGGCAAUGAUACGUAGCCGAACUGAGAGGUUGAUCGGCCACAUUGGGACUGAGACACGGCCCAAACUCCUACGGGAGGCAGCAGUAGGGAAUCUUCCACAAUGGACGCAAGUCUGAUGGAGCAACGCCGCGUGAGUGAAGAAGGCUUUCGGGUCGUAAAACUCUGUUGUUGGAGAAGAAUGGUCGGCAGAGUAACUGUUGUCGGCGUGACGGUAUCCAACCAGAAAGCCACGGCUAACUACGUGCCAGCAGCCGCGGUAAUACGUAGGUGGCAAGCGUUAUCCGGAUUUAUUGGGCGUAAAGCGAGCGCAGGCGGUUUUUUAAGUCUGAUGUGAAAGCCCUCGGCUUAACCGAGGAAGUGCAUCGGAAACUGGGAAACUUGAGUGCAGAAGAGGACAGUGGAACUCCAUGUGUAGCGGUGAAAUGCGUAGAUAUAUGGAAGAACACCAGUGGCGAAGGCGGCUGUCUGGUCUGUAACUGACGCUGAGGCUCGAAAGCAUGGGUAGCGAACAGGAUUAGAUACCCUGGUAGUCCAUGCCGUAAACGAUGAAUGCUAGGUGUUGGAGGGUUUCCGCCCUUCAGUGCCGCAGCUAACGCAUUAAGCAUUCCGCCUGGGGAGUACGACCGCAAGGUUGAAACUCAAAGGAAUUGACGGGGGCCCGCACAAGCGGUGGAGCAUGUGGUUUAAUUCGAAGCAACGCGAAGAACCUUACCAGGUCUUGACAUCUUUUGAUCACCUGAGAGAUCAGGUUUCCCCUUCGGGGGCAAAAUGACAGGUGGUGCAUGGUUGUCGUCAGCUCGUGUCGUGAGAUGUUGGGUUAAGUCCCGCAACGAGCGCAACCCUUAUGACUAGUUGCCAGCAUUUAGUUGGGCACUCUAGUAAGACUGCCGGUGACAAACCGGAGGAAGGUGGGGAUGACGUCAAAUCAUCAUGCCCCUUAUGACCUGGGCUACACACGUGCUACAAUGGAUGGUACAACGAGUUGCGAGACCGCGAGGUCAAGCUAAUCUCUUAAAGCCAUUCUCAGUUCGGACUGUAGGCUGCAACUCGCCUACACGAAGUCGGAAUCGCUAGUAAUCGCGGAUCAGCACGCCGCGGUGAAUACGUUCCCGGGCCUUGUACACACCGCCCGUCACACCAUGAGAGUUUGUAACACCCGAAGCCGGUGGCGUAACCCUUUUAGGGAGCGAGCCGUCUAAAGGUGGAACAAAAU